GAUGAACGCUGGCGGCGUGCUUAACACAUGCAAGUCGAACGGAAAGGCUCCUGCUUGCAGGGGUACUCGAGUGGCGAACGGGUGAGUAACACGUGGGUGAUCUGCCCUGCACUUCGGGAUAAGCCUGGGAAACUGGGUCUAAUACCGGAUAGGACGAUGGUUUGGAUGCCAUUGUGGAAAGUUUUUUCGGUGUGGGAUGAGCUCGCGGCCUAUCAGCUUGUUGGUGGGGUAAUGGCCUACCAAGGCGUCGACGGGUAGCCGGCCUGUGAGGGUGUACGACCACAUUAGGACUGAGAUACGGCCCAGACUCCUACGGGAGGCAGCAGUGGGGAAUAUUGCACCAUGGGCGGAAGCCUGAUGCAGCAACGCCGCGUGGGGGAUGACGGCCUUCGGGUUGUAAACUCCUUUCGCUAGUGACGAAGCGCAAGUGACGGUACCUGGGGAAGAAGCACCGGCUAACUACGUG
rnacentral:rRNA from 1 species